rnacentral:rRNA from 1 species
GACGAACGCUGGCGGUGUGCUUAACACAUGCAAGUCGAACGGUAAGGCCCUUUCGGGGGUACACGAGUGGCGAACGGGUGAGUAACACGUGAGUAACCUGCCCUCAUCUCUGGGAUAACAGUCGGAAACGGUUGCUAAUACUGGAUAUGAGCUUGCAAGGCACCUUGUGGGUUGGAAAGAUUUUUUUGGUUGGGGAUGGACUCGCGGCCUAUCAGCUUGUUGGUGAGGUAGUGGCUCACCAAGGCUUCGACGGGUAGCCGGCCUGAGAGGGCGACCGGCCACAUUGGGACUGAGAUACGGCCCAAACUCCUACGGGAGGCAGCAGUGGGGAAUAUUGCACAAUGGACGGAAGUCUGAUGCAGCAACGCCGCGUGCGGGAUGACGGCCUUCGGGUUGUAAACCGCUUUCAAUUGUGACGAAGCUUUUUUGUGACGGUAGCAGUAGAAGAAGCACCGGCUAACUACGUG